UGACCACAAUCGGAGACUUCAUUAUUAUGCCUAUUAAACACCUUGAAAACGGCGGGAGGUCUGAAAGACCCUCGGGCAGGGUGAGCUCUUCUGUAUCAGAAACCUAAAGAGAAGUUCCAGCCUCAGAUGUGACCACACAGCUCUCCUAAGUCAGCCUUCGCAUACACCCUCUGGAGGAUUCCUAACACUAAUCUGGAUAUUAAAGUCAAUCAUCUUUAUGUAUGAAAUAGCUGUUUCUCAUUAAAAUGCUUUACAUCUUAAA